UGGUGUGUGAGGAGUAAGAACGAGCAGUACAAAGCCUUUGGGGUCGAAACACGGCAAGACUCCCAGAGGCUUUGUCAU
rnacentral:sRNA from 1 species